rnacentral:rRNA from 1 species
GAUGAACGUUGGCGGCGUGCCUAAUACAUGCAAGUCGAACGAAGACUGUAGUAAUACUGUCUUAGUGGCGAACGGGUGAGUAACGCGUGGGUGACCUGCCCCGAAGUGUGGGAUAACAGUCCGAAAGGAUUGCUAAUACUGCAUAAUAUCCAAGAGAUUAGAUGCUUUUUGGAUUAAAGGAGUAAUUCGCUUCGGGAGGGGCCCGCGUCCCAUCAGCUAGUUGGUAAGGUAAUGGCUUACCAAGGCGAUGACGGGUAGGGGACCUGAGAGGGUGGCCCCCCACAAUGGAACUGAAACACGGUCCAUACACCUACGGGUGGCAGCAGUAGGGAAUAUUAGUAAUGGGCGAAAGCCUGAACUAGCAACGCCGCGUGUGCGAAGAAGGCCUUCGGGUCGUAAAGCACUUUUUGAGAGGAUGAGGAAGGACGGUACUCUCAGAAUAAGUCUCGGCUAACUACGUGCCAGCAGCCGCGGUAAGCAUACUCGUA